rnacentral:rRNA from 1 species
GGUCAAGUGAAGAAGCGCAUACGGUGGAUGCCUUGGCAGUCAGAGGCGAUGAAAGACGUGGUAGCCUGCGAAAAGCUUCGGGGAGUCGGCAAACAGACUUUGAUCCGGAGAUCUCUGAAUGGGGGAACCCACCUAGGAUAACCUAGGUAUCUUGUACUGAAUCCAUAGGUGCAAGAGGCGAACCAGGGGAACUGAAACAUCUAAGUACCCUGAGGAAAAGAAAUCAACCGAGAUUCCCUUAGUAGUGGCGAGCGAACGGGGAUUAGCCCUUAAGCUUUAUUGAUUUUAGCGGAACGCUCUGGAAAGUGCGGCCAUAGUGGGUGAUAGCCCCGUACGCGAAAGGAUCUUUGAAGUGAAAUCGAGUAGGACGGAGCACGAGAAACUUUGUCUGAACAUGGGGGGACCAUCCUCCAAGGCUAAAUACUACUGACUGACCGAUAGUGAACCAGUACCGUGAGGGAAAGGCGAAAAGAACCCCGGAGAGGGGAGUGAAAUAGAACCUGAAACCGUAUGCGUACAAGCAGUGGGAGCCUACUUGUUAGGUGACUGCGUACCUUUUGUAUAAUGGGUCAGCGACUUAUAUUCAGUGGCAAGCUUAACCGUAUAGGGUAGGCGUAGCGAAAGCGAGUCUUAAUAGGGCGUUUAGUCGCUGGGUAUAGACCCGAAACCGGGCGAUCUAUCCAUGAGCAGGUUGAAGGUUAGGUAACACUGACUGGAGGACCGAACCCACUCCCGUUGAAAAGGUAGGGGAUGACUUGUGGAUCGGAGUGAAAGGCUAAUCAAGCUCGGAGAUAGCUGGUUCUCCUCGAAAGCUAUUUAGGUAGCGCCUCAUGUAUCACUCUGGGGGGUAGAGCACUGUUUCGGCUAGGGGGUCAUCCCGACUUACCAAACCGAUGCAAACUCCGAAUACCCAGAAGUGCCGAGCAUGGGAGACACACGGCGGGUGCUAACGUCCGUCGUGAAAAGGGAAACAACCCAGACCGCCAGCUAAGGUCCCAAAGUUGUGGUUAAGUGGUAAACGAUGUGGGAAGGCUUAGACAGCUAGGAGGUUGGCUUAGAAGCAGCCAUCCUUUAAAGAAAGCGUAAUAGCUCACUAGUCGAGUCGGCCUGCGCGGAAGAUGUAACGGGGCUCAAACCACACACCGAAGCUGCGGGUGUCACGUAAGUGACGCGGUAGAGGAGCGUUCUGUAAGCCUGUGAAGGUGAGUUGAGAAGCUUGCUGGAGGUAUCAGAAGUGCGAAUGCUGACAUGAGUAACGACAAUGGGUGUGAAAAACACCCACGCCGAAAGACCAAGGGUUCCUGCGCAACGUUAAUCGACGCAGGGUUAGUCGGUUCCUAAGGCGAGGCUGAAAAGCGUAGUCGAUGGGAAACAGGUUAAUAUUCCUGUACUUCUGGUUACUGCGAUGGAGGGACGGAGAAGGCUAGGCCAGCUUGGCGUUGGUUGUCCAAGUUUAAGGUGGUAGGCUGAAAUCUUAGGUAAAUCCGGGGUUUCAAGGCCGAGAGCUGAUGACGAGUCGUCUUUUAGAUGACGAAGUGGUUGAUGCCAUGCUUCCAAGAAAAGCUUCUAAGCUUCAGGUAACCAGGAACCGUACCCCAAACCGACACAGGUGGUCGGGUAGAGAAUACCAAGGCGCUUGAGAGAACUCGGGUGAAGGAACUAGGCAAAAUGGCACCGUAACUUCGGGAGAAGGUGCGCCGGCUAGGGUGAAGGAUUUACUCCGUAAGCUCUGGCUGGUCGAAGAUACCAGGCCGCUGCGACUGUUUAUUAAAAACACAGCACUCUGCAAACACGAAAGUGGACGUAUAGGGUGUGACGCCUGCCCGGUGCCGGAAGGUUAAUUGAUGGGGUUAGCGCAAGCGAAGCUCUUGAUCGAAGCCCCGGUAAACGGCGGCCGUAACUAUAACGGUCCUAAGGUAGCGAAAUUCCUUGUCGGGUAAGUUCCGACCUGCACGAAUGGCGUAACGAUGGCGGCGCUGUCUCCACCCGAGACUCAGUGAAAUUGAAAUCGCUGUGAAGAUGCAGUGUAUCCGCGGCUAGACGGAAAGACCCCGUGAACCUUUACUGUAGCUUUGCACUGGACUUUGAGCCUGCUUGUGUAGGAUAGGUGGGAGGCUUUGAAGCGUGGACGCCAGUUCGCGUGGAGCCAUCCUUGAAAUACCACCCUGGCAUGCUUGAGGUUCUAACUCUGGUCCGUGAUCCGGAUCGAGGACAGUGUAUGGUGGGCAGUUUGACUGGGGCGGUCUCCUCCUAAAGAGUAACGGAGGAGUACGAAGGUGCGCUCAGACCGGUCGGAAAUCGGUCGCAGAGUAUAAAGGCAAAAGCGCGCUUGACUGCGAGACAGACACGUCGAGCAGGUACGAAAGUAGGUCUUAGUGAUCCGGUGGUUCUGUAUGGAAGGGCCAUCGCUCAACGGAUAAAAGGUACUCCGGGGAUAACAGGCUGAUACCGCCCAAGAGUUCAUAUCGACGGCGGUGUUUGGCACCUCGAUGUCGGCUCAUCACAUCCUGGGGCUGAAGCCGGUCCCAAGGGUAUGGCUGUUCGCCAUUUAAAGUGGUACGCGAGCUGGGUUUAGAACGUCGUGAGACAGUUCGGUCCCUAUCUGCCGUGGACGUUUGAGAUUUGAGAGGGGCUGCUCCUAGUACGAGAGGACCGGAGUGGACGAACCUCUGGUGUUCCGGUUGUCACGCCAGUGGCAUUGCCGGGUAGCUAUGUUCGGAAAAGAUAACCGCUGAAAGCAUCUAAGCGGGAAACUUGCCUCAAGAUGAGAUCUCACUGGGAACUUGAUUCCCCUGAAGGGCCGUCGAAGACUACGACGUUGAUAGGCUGGGUGUGUAAGCGUUGUGAGGCGUUGAGCUAACCAGUACUAAUUGCCCGUGAGGCUUGACCAU